rnacentral:lncRNA from 1 species
GAAGAAAUAGGGUGUUUGGGAUUUUGUGUUUUUGGAAACCUGGGAAAAACAGGGAAUUUUGGAAAAAGAAACUGAAAGUAAACUUUUUAAGGUAUGUGACAUAUUUUCCCACAGAGUGAUCAGAGGCUUGUUUCAAUUUGUGCAAAUGUUGGUUUAAGGAAGCACAUGAACAUGGGAGCAGAAGUUUCAGAAUUAAACGUUGGGCUCUUCCAGAGCCCGACUCUGCCUAGAGAAACCAAAAGGAAAAGCUUGAGCAACAUCACCUUUCCCGAGACUGUAUCAACAACUGCAUUGCUCAACUUGCCUUACACCCGUGGUGACAGCGCUUAACUUGCCUGCAGUCCGCAGCUAUGAGAUGACAUAUAUGAGAAAUAUGAAAAUUACACAGAACUGCCCCUAAUAAUAACUCUGUA